GCUCCGUCGGGGCCGCGCCGCGGAACCGCCGCUCCUCCUCCUCCUCCUCCGCCCGCUCCUGCCGCGGCCCUGCGGGGCUCGCCAUGGCGGGGCCCCCCGCUGGGCCCGUCCCGGCCGCCCCUGUGGCGGCAGCCGGACCGGCCGCCACCGCUUUAUCCGGCGCCCCCGCCGCAGGCCCCGGGCGGGGGGCGAACCCCCCCCACACCCCACACCCCACACCCCCCCCCCGGAGCCUCCCCGCGGGGCCGCGGCGCUGCGGGCGGGGGCGGGACCUCCCGGGACGGGCGAUACGGAAAAGAGCGGCGGCCCGCGACGGGCGGCCACGCACGUCCUCCUCCCACCCGCGGCCGCCGUGACACCACGGGGCGGGGGAGGGAGGGAGCCGCCAGCAACGCUGCCGGGAGCUUUAUGGCCCCCGGCGGAGGGAUGGGGGGACACGGGGGGCCGCCGUGCCCGCUGGCGGUGUCGUCUGUGGGUCUGUCUGUCUGUGCGUGUGCUGUGGCUGUGUGUCUGGCUGUGUCUCUGUGUGUCUCUGUGUCUGUGUCCCGGGCGCCCCGCUCGGCACCAAAUCUGCAGCUGAGAGUUUCUGAGACAGCCCCGUCCUUCCCCCACCCCUCCCGGGACUUUCAUGCCGAAAUUCGUUGCCACCCGCCCUCACGGCAGAGAAAAGCCCUGAGGCUGGAGCUCCAGGACAAAGCCCCGAAGCAGGACUCUACUUGUGGAAAGUCGUGUCCGAAGGCUCAGGAGGCACACACGUGAGCGCACACCACCUUUUGGAAGGUCAGACUGUCCUCAACGUUUCCAGUUAAAACAAGGAGAAAAAAAACAAAAUAUAGACUGGCUUUAUCUUCUGAACAAAUAAACAAAAGCAGAAUCCCCCCCGCCUCUGUCUUAUUUUCUGAGCAUGAUGUCUAGUAAACGGCAUCCUCAUAACAAGACAAUUUUAUUAGUAUGGCAAGAUCCAUAUCUGAGAAUCUUCCAAACUUCAUUCUACACUCUGUGCGUACUGCUGCACAAUUGUAUGGGGGCGAUUUGCACGGAUGGUUGCAAAAAUACCACAUUAUUAAACUUCCCUCCAUUAUUUCUCUCAUGGAAUUGACACUGAAAAGCAUAUGCAAGUACCACAGUACUUUCCGAAGCAACACACUCCCGCUGUGAACUUAUCAGGGUUCUUUUUUUGUUUGUUUUGCACAGUUUUAUUUUUAGCAUCAGCCUGCUUGCCAAAAAGCAGCCUCCCAACGUGAGCGAAUACAGAGCAGUUCAACUGAGUGUGCAGUCUGGGUCCCGCAGAGGAAUGAAUGGCAAAGCCACAGAACCACCACUAAACGGUUCUCUUAGCAGAUCCUGCCACGAGGAUGUUCUUCCUACUCCUUGACCCUUUCAGCUCUUCCAACUAACCGGCCUCAGCGCUGCAGCACUAAGCCGCAGAGCCACGCGCCCCAGCUCGGCAGCCGCGGCCCGCGGCGCAGCGCGCGGGGGAGGAGAGCGAUGGUCGCCUUGAUACCUGUGAACUAAGGUUAUUAGGAAAUAGGUAUUUGUGGAACUGAAUUAUUAAGAUCGAUUUAAGCGCUUUUAACCAUCGGCCUGGUAGUAGCAGGUGCAAAGAAACAUAAAGAUAAGGAAGCUGCAAAUUAGCAACAAAACUAGACCAGGCCAGCCUUGAGGGACAAGAUCUGUGUGACCAGAGGACCGAGUUUGCACAGAAGUAAGGGUCAACUGACGGACAGAGUGAAGCAGGCUACGAGCCUUUGUCUAAAGACCCCCGGCGGCCACCUGAAGACUCCAACAGACAUGAGCAAGAGACAUGAACGCACGCUAAUGAGUUCCCAGAAAAGUUAUGAAUAUGAUAAAAUUUUGAUAAAAAUGCAACGAGUAUGUAUGAUUAAGGUGGUAUAAAUGCUUGUUGAUUUUGUUUUCAGACACGCGCAUUAGGAGGAGCUCUCCCCUGUGUGUCCGGCGCUGCAAUAAAGAAUGCCUGCUUUCCAAAACUCCAAAA